AACCAUCCCACAUGCCUGGAUAAGGGGCCUUGAUUUAGAACAUGUUGCUGUGGAACCAGAGCUAACACCAAGUCCGGAGUGUGUGCAGUGAUAUGAUGCUUUGGAGUGCUAUGUGCUACUGAACUAAAGAUGGCAGAACCUCAGAAAUCAUCUAAAGUCGCUGUCAAGAAAAUGGAAGACGACUUACCUCCCCCUCCCAUCCCUGGCUCAGUCCAAGUCAUCGCUCCAGGGAGCCAGGAUCCCAACCCACUCCCUGUGCCUCCUCCUAAGCAAGCUUUCUCCAAGUUCUACCAGCAGCGACAAGUAAAUGAGCUAAAGAGGCUCUACAGACACAUGCAUCCUGAGCUCAGGAAGAACUUGGAAGAAGCUGUGACUGAGGACCUGGCAGAAAUGCUUAAUACUGAAGAUCCCAAUGCACAGGGAUCUGUGAACCUGGAUAAAGUUCUUCCCGGUGAGGUUCAGUCCAUGCGCUGGAUCUUUGAGAACUGGGCACUUGACUCUAUUGGGGACCAUCAAGCCACAAAGAAGAUGAUGGAAGAUGAGAUAAUUCCUGGUGGGGAUGUGAAAAGUACUUCUCUGAGGUUUGAAAACCAGUCCGUCAAUGGGGACUAUCUGUCAACAACAGCAAAGUUAUCAGAGACAGACCUUGCCAGAGGGGAUGUGCAUACUGCCCGGUGGCUCUUUGAAACCCAGCCUUUGGACUCGUUAAACAAACUGUACUCAGAUGAAACUGAAGUGCAAGAGGCAGUUCUCAAGGAGCCGGUCCAGGGAGGUGAUGUGAAAGGUGCCAAAGAACUCUUCGAAGCCCAGUCCUUGGAUGCUAUAGGACGCUGCUGCUCCGUGGAGGAGAGGAGCAUCCUGCAGCUCAAGUCAGAAAUCCAGGAGCUAAAAGGUGAUGUCAAGAAGACUAUCAGACUCUUCCAAACAGAGCCCCUCUGUGCAAUUAGGGACAAAACUGGAAACAUCCAUGAAAUCAAGUCUGUUUGCCGAGAAGAAAUUCAGAGCAAUGCAGUCAGAACAGCUCGCUGGCUGUUUGAGACUCAGCCACUGGAUACCAUCAACAAGGACACUUCUAAAGUACAAAUAAUCCGUGGGAUCUCAUUGGAAGAAAUAGGAAGGCCAGAUGUCAGUGGAGCAAGGUGGAUAUUUGAAACUCAGCCUCUGGAUGCCAUCAGAGAAAUUACUGUUGAAGAACAGGAUUUCAAAGCUUCAACAGAUUUUGUUACAGGGGCAGAUGUCAGUAAACAGCGAUUACUCUUUGAGACCCAGGCCCUUGAUUCUUUGAAAGGAGAAGCUUCAGAGAGCGUUGCAGCCAAAGAACAAGUCAUUGGAGGUGAUGUGAAAUCUACACUCUGGCUAUUCGAAACUCAACCGAUGGAAACCCUGAAAGACAAUUUUGAAGUGGGUCAUUUGAAAAAAGUAGAGCUUUCAGCAGAGGAGAAAGGAGAUGUGAAACAAAGAAAACAUGUGUUUGAGACCUGUCCCCUUGGCAGUAUCUCCAAGGCAUUUGAGGAAGAAGUUUCAGCUGCCAGCACAGAAGAAGUGGUUAAAGGGGAUGUGAAAUCUUUCAAGACUCUAUUUGAGACUCUCCCCCUAGAUAGCAUCAAGGAGGUUGAUGCUGAGCCUGUCACCAAGGAAGAGGAGAAGAUUCCACCUGGUAAUGUCAAAGCUAAUCAAAUCCUAUUUGAAACUACACCCCUCUAUGCCAUCAAGGAUAGCUUUGGCAAUUUUCAUGAAGUCACAUCUGUAAGCAGAGAGCAAGUCAUUAGUGGUGACGUCAAGAGGUACAAAUGGAUGUUCGAAACCAGGCCACUGGACCAGUUUGAUGAAAGCACCAAGAAAGUGGAUAUAAUACGGGGGAUCACAAAACAGGAGGUGGUGGCUGGUGAUGUCAGAACAGCCAAGUGGCUCUUUGAAACUCAACCUAUGGAUGUCAUUCAUCACCAAGCCACUCAAGGUGAGGAACACCCCUCAGUGAAGAGGGAAAUCUCCCAGCGGGGGGAUGUGAAGACCUGUAGAUGGCUUUUUGAGACCCAGCCCAUGCACACCCUGUAUGAGAAGGCUGAAAAGAAGCAAGAAGAGGAUGUCAGUGUGCCUCAAGCUGACGUGAAAUCAUACACGUGGAUGUUUGAGACUCAACCCCUGGACUCCCUGAAAGGUCAAGAGGAGCAGUAUUUGAGAGUCAGUAAAGCAUACAGUCAGGAUGAAUUACAGGGAGUUGAUGUCAAAACUGUCCGCCAUCUAUUUGAGACUGAACCUUUGGGCAGCAGUGUUGUCAGUGAAGCUGACCAAAAGAAAACCCUGCGGUACUCUAGCCGUGUGGAGAUACAGUCUGGAGAAGUGUCCAGAGUGAAGGAAUUUUUCGAGGCGAAGCCUUUAGAUACAACAACAAAACCAACUGCGGUCAUCAAGGAUGAUGGAACGAUCGAAGCUGGAUCAGUGCACAAAUUCACUUGGCUCUUUGAGAAUUACCCCAUGGACACCCUGAAGGACAGCUCUGAAGGUAUCCAGGAAAUCCCUCCAGAGAAGGAUAUCAAGGGUGGAGAUGUUGGAGGCAAAAGGUUCAUAUUUGAGACCUACUCCCUUGACCAAAUCCAUGAGAAAGUAGAUGAGACAGAGCUCCAUAAGAUCCAGAAAGAUACCAUGAGCAAAGCAAACGUCAAGUCCUGCACAAUGCUCUUUGAAAGCAAACCCUUAUAUGCUAUCCAGGACAAAGAGGGGGGAUAUCAUGAGGUCACUUCAGUGCAGAAAGAAGAAAUCAUGAAAGGCGACGUGAAAGGUGCACGGUGGUUGUUUGAAACUAAGCCUCUGGAUCAGAUCAAAAAGGAUGAAGAAGUGUUUGUGAUUAGGGCUGUCACCCAAGAGGACAUCAAGAAAGGAGAUGUCCAGGCUGCCCGGUGGAGGUUUGAAACAGAGCCUCUUGACUCUUUCCCUGGAGGAAAGAUUUCUGUGCCCAGAACAGUAGAUGAUGUGCAGAAGGGAGAUGUUCAGUCCAACAAGCAGCUCUUUGAGUCCCAGCAAGUGGGCCAGAAGAAAUAUGUAAGGAUGGUCAGUGUCAGUGAUGUUCAGCGGGGUGAUGUGAGGACAUCUACCUGGCUUUUUGAAAACCAGCCUGUGGACUCCCUUUAUGGGGAUGCAGACAGAAGCUCAUCUAUCAGCACAGUGCAGAGAGAGGACAGCCAGAAAGGAGAUGUCAAACGCUGCACCUGGUUGUUUGAAACCCAGCCCAUGGACACUCUUAAGGACCCCGAGGUGACAGUCAGUACUGGGACACAAGAACCAAUCCCUCGUGCAGAUGUGAAAAGCACAACAUGGCUCUUUGAGAGUACGCCCUUGGAUAAAUUCGGUGCUUCUGAAUGCAGCAGGGAAGCAGAACUGAAAGAAAGAACUAUGAGGGAAACAUUAGAGACACUCUGUACUUGCCAGGCUAUUCAGCACGAUGGGAUCCUCAUUGAAGCCAAUGAUAUGGAGAGCGUGAAGAUGGUGAAGUACCAGCUCAGUAGCCCAGGUGCUCCAGAAAUCCUGAAAGAAGAGAUUGUGAGAGGCCAUUUACAAGGGAUCAUGCUGCAACUCCUGCACAGAACCAAUGUGGAACCACAGAGUGUGCUGGUGGAGGAGGACAGAGAGGGCAAGAUCAAAGUAAGCUCUUUGCAGCUUCUGGACCAGAGUGAAGCUAUUAAAGGCAAAGAGGACUUGAGUGGAAAUGUAGCUAAGGCUCUCCAGGGCCUCCUUAGUCAAGAUGCUUCCAUCAAAAAGGGGAUGGUCAUACAAGAGACAAAGUCAGAAUCAGUGAAGAUGACCCUCUACUCCCUCCUGUUCCAUUCUGUCCAGCAAAAAGUUGUCAAGGGGGAUGUGAAGUCAACGAUAGGGAACCUGAUGGCUUCUUCUCAGGAGCAGAAGGCUACAGUAACUGUUAAGCGUGAGGACAAUGAGAAAGGGAACGUCCAGCUUUUUGCGAGCUGCAUUGAGAAGGGAGAUCUGGACUAUCUGAAGAACCUUCAGCAGGAGUCAGAAAUACAGUCCCUCAUCUCUGCCCAGGCAGAGCAAGGGACAGCUGAAAGUGCCCUGCGGGUUUUGCAGGGGACUAAUACACAUGUCUUAGAAAACAAAGAACAAGUAGAGAAAGUAAUGGCAGAAGCAAAGCCAGGGGCUCCGGAGGGAGCAAAAAAGGUAUUUGCAUGUGAAAGCACGGGCAAGGAGGGUGCGUUAGAGAGAGAGGUUGUGCGUGCUGUGGGUGUGACAGGCACCACUGUGCAAUGCCUUGGGAAGCCUCAGAACCUGCCCACAGGGAUGGAAAAGGAAGAAAUCAUGUCAGGGGGGCUUAAAGUAACUACAAAGUCAAUUCAAAGGGUUGCAGAUGUCAGCAAGAAUACAGAGAAAGAAGAAUCCACCUCUGCACGUCUGAAGGAGCACAAAGCUACGAUGCAAGGCAUUACCCAGAGCAAAGUGACAGCUGAGAGGAGUGAAGUGGUUGGAGAACAGCAGAGUUUGGUGACUGAGCAAGCCAGCCAGAAGCAGUCAGAAGAGAAGGCCCUUGGGAAUGAUCUUCAGGCUGCAAUGCAAAGCCUGAGGCUAGCAACAGCAGAAGCGAGAAACAUUCAACAUCAUGUUCAAAGCAAGCUACAAAGGAACAGGGAGGAAGUCCACACGGCCUGCAGACAGCAGGUAGCUAGUAAGCAGGAGACAAAGACCCUUCAGUCAACUGUACAUCAACAAGAGUCUGCAUCUACCAUGCGGGAGAAUGCCAGCACAGCUGUCAGGACCACCACCACUAGAGUCCAGGAGGCAUCCCAGACCCACACAAGUGUGUCUCAGAAGAGUAUAGCAUCACAUAAAAAGGUCAGUGCUUCAGAGGAAGUACAGGGAGGACAACUAUUGAGCCAGAAAAACCAAGUUGUGCCUAGUAGAGAUGUUAGCAUUAAGGAUGGCCUUUAUACUGCCACACCUGUGAAAACCUAUAUAAACCCUUUCGUUGAGUCUGAUUACAAAGAGCGAUCAGUGCAAGAAGAAAGAGAUGUUAUUAUCAGAGGGGAUGUACAGACAGCUAUCAGAGCACUGCAAAGUGCCGCCACAGAACAGCGCCUGGUAGAAAAGGAGGAUGUUGUCCGUGGUAAUUUAAAAGCCACACUUCAGUCACUGGAAAAGUCUAACGUUAAUGUCUCCAAAGGGGAUUUUAAAGCUGCUAUGAUAUACAGAAAUGCAGGGCAGUCCUAUUCUGUGUGUAAAAAGAAAAGUGAGACUCAAGUCAAUAAUAACCAGACAGCUGUAGUGGCUUCAGGGUCACAAGCUGAUAAUGACUUUCCUCCUCCUCCCCCAGUUGCUGUGAUGAAAGCAGAACAUUGUCCACCCUCAACCAAAGCAACAAGAGAAGGUGCCCUUACAUUAUUAACCAGCAAAGAUGAAGCUCCAGGAUGUUUCUCACCACUCCAGACCCCUCUUCCUUCCCUUCCUUCUCUGUCCUGCAAACCCAGUGACCAGAAUUCUACAGAAAAGCCCAAGAUUCCUCCAAAACCAGAAAUCACUGCCCCACCAAGAAAAAAGCCUGUCCCCCCACCAAAACCCGAGCACCUCUUACAUGAGGCAUAUUCUGCUUCUACAAAUAAGAGCACAAGCAGAUUAACCAAAUCUAUCCCUCCACCCGUGCCUGCAAAAACUCCAGGCUUGAGGGAAAUCAGCAAGCCAAAGCCUCCCCCUGCAGAGCUGAAGUUAAGUUGCACAGAAGUAUGUGAACAAUCAGACCACAGGGAGAGUCAAGAAAAAUAUAGCACUUUGGAGUCAUCUGUGGACAAAUCUAUUACAGUUCAGGACAAAUCUAUGACAAUUCAGGGCUCUGAGAGAAAGCUGCCUAAAUAUCCUAUCAAAACCCCUCUUCAGCUGGCAGAGGAAAGGUACAAGGCAAGCAAAGGAGGACAAGGCAAGUUUGAACUGGACAGAGCUAAGCCUUCAAAGCCAGUGAAAAAUGGAGAGGUUGGAUUUGAAGCCAAGCAAGGGAUGUUGAAUGGGAAAGCAGCAGCUCCAAUAAGCUGCUCCCGUGAGGUAGUUCAGAGGCAUUCUGAGAUGUGUCAACAAGAGGAGAGAUUCUCUUCAAUGUCAUAUGCAGCCUCUCCUGGUAGAGCACAGACACCUACAAUGCCAGGACAGACUGAGCCAAGCACCUCCUCUGUGGGCCAUGACACUCCUCCAAAGAGAGGAGAUGACAUUGCAAAAAAUGCCUCAACCAAGGUGGAAAGGGAAGGUGUGUAUAAUGCCUAUUCAUCAUGGGAAAGUCAGAGAGUCAUGCAGCAAGUGAAUGAAAGGAAACAAACGAGUCAUUCAGUGUCCUUCCAUCAGCAGCCAAAGAACGCUUCCAAGGAAGAACAACAGGGAAAUAGUGAGCAACCAAAACGUCCUGAUGUGGAGGCAGAGGCACCUGCUCAGGAGAAGCCAGCAGUUAUUAUGAGAGAAAAAGCCAAGAGUGAAACAGAAGAUGAACGUCGGAAGAGGCUGUCAGUGCACAAAGAGGAGAUAAUGAAAGGCAACGUCAAAGAGGCUAUGGAGAUCUUUGAAAAUCUCAGAAGACAAGAGGAGCUGCAAGAGAUCUUGACUAGGGUGAAGGAGUUUGAAGAGGAAACAAGCAAAGUGGAUGUGAAAUCGCUGAGGAGCCUUUUUGAGAAGGUCCCUGAUUGGAUGGUUCGUCAGAAGGCCCUCCAGGCCAAACAACAGGAUGGGGCUGUGACACAGACCAAGGAUGACACUGACAGUGUCUCCUCAGUAGAGAUGGUUUUCGGGGACCUGGAGAGAGCGAGUGCUGAGAUUAUCCACCUGAAGGAGCAGACACUCGCCCGACUCUUAGACAUUGAGGAGGCUAUCAAGAAAGCUCUUUAUUCUGUCUCCAGUCUCAAGUCUGAGUCAGACAUCGCUGGGCUCUCUGGUCUGUUCAAAGAAUCUCUGGGGAGCACCCAGAGCUCUACAAGCAGCAGCAAUAUCCGCAAAAUCAGUAUUGUGUCAAGCAAAGCCAGACAGGAGGAAACAACGGUGGAAACAGGGGAGGCAGCAUCAGUGGAAGGUGCAAAGGCGGCAGAAAAGACUGAGGUAACCAAGUCAGAGCUGGAGGUCCCCCGUCAAGUUCAUCCUCGUGUCAGUUCUCCCUCUUCACCUUCCUACAUCACCAUCGAGUCUGCUGCCAGGAAACCAGCAGAGUCACCCAGGACAGCACAUUCCCCACGAGACAUCCCUUCCCCAGAUCGUCCGGACACUCCAGGAAAGAAGGAUGCUUUUGCUCAGGAGAGUUCUAACUCCAUUAACCAUCCAUCAGCUGGGUCAUCUGGGCAUGACACGUCUCCCUUUGAGAAGAGACCGGAGCCCACCCAAACAAAUGCUGAGGAGAACUCAGUGAAACAGCACACCCCUGCUAACACCAACAAUCAGGUCGAUGAGAAAGAGAGGUGCCCUCCAGAUGCCUCCAAAGGUAGCUGCCAGUGUGGGGUGAAAGGAGGCUUUCCAGGAUAUUGCUCCCCAAGCACCCCCAGCCCACAGAACCCACGGAGGCAGAAAAGCAUCUUGGAGCUGAAGACAGGGCCUGAUGGAUCCAAGCUCUAUGGAGCUACCCGGACUGUCACAGAGCAGUAUGAGGAAAUGGACCAAUUUGGAAAUAAAAUCAUCACUUCAUCUACCACAGUCACCAAGCAAUCUGAAACACAAACAUCCUCCACGUGUGGUGUGGCCUCGCAUCCCCAGUAUGAAGUAUCUGCACCACCCGUGUUUCCAAGUUACCUGAAGAGCCCAAGUGAAAACAUCCACAAUGGCAUUUUCCAGGAGACAGGAGUGGUCUUUGUCACCUUUGGUAACUCCAGGCUAAAGAAAUAGGAGGUCUUGAAGAGCAAGAGAGAACUAUAUAAAAAAGAAAAAGACAGUCUACAAUAAAAAAAUUCUCCUCGUUUAUCUACAUUAUACACAGGGAAUCAUCUACACCCUAAAGACUUCUCAGGGUCUUCGUCUUGGUGUUCUUGUACAGACAGGACAAACGCAGUCUGCCCUGACAACUGCCCUCACCUGAACAACUCAGCAGACUUGGUGCUGCACCACAACCCAGAGCCCUGGCACUGCCAGAAGCACUGCCAGAAGGGAAACAUCCAUCCACGGUCAUCUUGGGCAGUUUCUUCUCCAACAGUAUAAUGUGGGGCAUGGGAAGGGCUACAUUAGGCUUCUCUGAACUAACUGACAAGGAAAGAUAGAUAGAAUCAGUUCAAGAAGAGAUCGAUCUGGUCAUGGGCAAACAAACACUCGGUAUUAUCUUUUGUAUUUAAUUUCAGUACAGAGUUGCCAGGGAGGGCAUCGUAAACACAUAAAUAUGUAUAAGUACAGAUGCUGACACUGAUGGGUGGGCUAGAUGGGUUUUUCCUUAGACAAUAAAUUAAAAAGUUCAAAUGGCUGACACUGUUAUUGGUGGGGGAGGAAUUUAACAGAGUACAUUUCCUAGAACUACUUGAUGCUAUUGAAAAUUGUUACAUCAAACCCCACAGCUAUUAUCAGUGCUGUUUCUCCAAAGAAAGAUUUAAAGAAAGAUGCUCCAGGUGAGAAAGAAUGGUUGUUGCUUUCCUUUAUUUUCAGAAUUGUUAUUUAUUAUUCAAUAUACACAAAAAAAACUUAUUUUAGAUUUUCCAUGCUUUCAUACCUGUUUACUGUUUAAGUUCAUUUUGCAACCUUGUAAAGCAAUUUUCUUUGUAUUGUGACUUUGUUUUGUACAUUCACAACUCAUGAUUUUAGAUUUUUUUGUGGCUUUUUUUUUUUUAACUUUUAUUGCUGCAUUCAUCUGAAGGUAAACAUUACCUCUAAAAAUACUUUGGUCUGGUUGGCUUUCUUUUGUUGAGUGCUAGAUUCCUUUCAAAGUCCCCUGGAAUUAACCACUUAAAUGAGCCAGUCGAAUCACACAGUAAGGCCAUUCCAAAUCACUAAACCUAAAUCACAAAUCUACGUCUUCUUUACAAUGUGGGCGGACUAUCAGCUCCGUGGCAGGCAGUUUCUAUAUUCACAUCUAAAAACUGAGUUGAGUGCAAUAUAAAACACACCACCCCAUCCAGGAGCAUAGUUGAGUUGACAUUGGGUACGAUGUACAACCCAAUAAGUCCUUUCCCACACUGACAACUGACAACAGUUUCAGAGUGUACCUCUUCAUAUCACUCAGCUCAUAGCUAUGUUUUUAAACAGCAGAUAUUAUCUCACACCAUAUCUUGCUCAGGGUGUGGUAGGCCAGGUAGGUAGAUUAAAGCUAAGUAAUAUAGGGCCCCUUCAACCUCCCUGAAAAUCAUGGAAAAUGUUGUAUGAAUAAAUAAUACCUCUCUGUUGAUGCUUUAGCAUUGGUAACUGAAGGAAAUAAGAAAGAUUUAUCAUCGUUCUCAUAGAGUCUGGAUCUGAGAGCAACAGACCUUGAAUGGAAGUGGCUGAUGACAUAUUCCUAACAUGUUCCUGGUAGUUUUGUCAGAAAAUUCUUAGCCCACAGAAACAUUCCUGAGAAUAAUAACAAAAAAUAGGUGUGAUCUGUAGAAUUCCUGCUUUCCUCCAAGAAUGUAGGCAUAUACCUACAGCACUCUGAUGUGCUUCUAGGACCCCAAAAGCUGGAAAGUAGCAUAUGCUGAAAGAAAACUAAGAAUGUGGUUUUCAGUUCCACCAAAGAGUACAACAAAGUCUGAGGUAAAAGAGCAGAUCAUCAUAAACUGAAUGUAACUGGUUUCAGGAAACCAGACCAAAUAACUGCUUAGACCUUCCCAAUUGUUUUAGUGGGAUCACUAAUAGAAAUGGCAGAAUCAACAAUUCAGAGGUUCUCCUGAAUUUUUUCCAACACAACCAUCUUAUAUUUGCUUGCUUCUAGCCUUAGCUUGUCUCAGGAUGCCAGUACCAGGUUUGCUUCGUCUCUCUUUACAAUGCUUCUACUAAGUUGCAAACAGGUUCCUUGGGCAAAGAAAGUGAUUCCACAGGAACUCAAAUAAACCCAAAUAUCCUGCACUGCCAGUGCUUAAAAAUAGUGAUUCUACUGUUUGUACUUCAGGAUUUUCAGUGUUUCUAAAUGUCCAGUGAGCCAUUUAAGAGGCUGAGCUCAUUUGGGAUGUAUUUCUUUCAUGGUAUUUUCAUUAGCCAAGAUAUCAUGAGGACACAGAUGCUGCAUUAUUUCAGUAUUAUACAUGGCUUCUUGAACUCCUGAAAGAGUUGGAGAAAAAACAAAUGCAGAGAUUUGAAACUCAAGUGUGAGCUGAAGCUGCAAGCUCCAUUCUUCAGACCUUGCAAUAAUAUAAGAGUACAUACAAACUUACGAAUCUCAAAUGAUUUGUCAUAGUUUUCUAGGAUCUUUGGAUACAAGACAUGAUAUUGUUCACCGGUCUUUAUCCUAGUGAAUCACUGCAUUCUCACACAGUGUAGGGUAGAUAUUUUCAAGAGCAAAUUGGCUGGGAAAGCUACUUGUACCAGCAGACAGGGGACAGAUGAUCUUGCCUUGAUUAUAACUCCUUGAGUGGUCACAGGAGAAAUUCAUCUGCAGAUCCAGUUCUCCUGAAGCAGUAACCAUGAAACAUGCUACAUUUGAAGUGCCUCCAUCAAGUAUGACCUGUCCCAAGUCUAUUUCAGCCACAUGUCCCUGUUAAGAUGCUUAAUCUUAGAUAUGAAAGCUUUGAGCUGGCUGUCUUCUCCAUCCAUUGAUAACACAAUGCAUGAUACAGCAUUUUCAGGCUAAUCUUUCCUACCUUAAAAACUUUUAUGCACCUAGAAAGCAAACAAGCAAACAGCAGAUGAUAAGGCAUAUGCCAGCUGCAACCUUUAGCACAGCAGUAAUCAGCAGUGCACUGAAGGAACCUUCCAACAACACUCUAUAAAUGUUUUCAAAGAAAUCUUAACAUAAUUUCCUUGCCCGCAGUGCCAUUUGAUGGCUGCUAAUCACCUCUGUGUCUUCCAAAAUGUUAGAAAUGCUUAUUCCCAGAGAUGGUAAAAAUACCUCUGAAAGACUAAAUCUAUUUGUCAUGCAUCAUCAGAGUGAGCAUUUAACAUACACCCUGGUGCUACCCCUAUAAAAGAUAGAGCCUGCAUCCCCUAGAAAAGAUUACCCCACACUCGGAACUCAGAAGCACAUACAUUCAUUCCAAAAAAAAAAAAAGAGUAGAGAGAUACUGUUUGUUUGCUAAACAGCUGUUUCCUUCCUCGGUCACAAUUAAAGGAAAGUGUUUUUCUUAUACUGCAGAAUCACAUCAGUAAUUUAUUUUCUGUCAAAAUAAAAACUUUGUUUUGUCUGAGAGCUUCAUCACUGCCAAAGAAAAUGCCUGCAAGAGUACCAAGAGAUACCAUGAUCCAUACCACAGAAUAAAUCAAAAGGACUUUGAAAAGCAGAGCUGUGUUGAGAUCACUGAAGACUGCAGGGAAGAUGGGGCUUUUGUUUGGAUACAUCCGUCUAGACACAGGGAAGAAAACCAAAGAACAUUAAACUCUUCUCAGAAGCGUUGUCAUAGAAAAACAAAUAGGACUUGACAUUACUGAUAUGUUCAGCCAAAAAAAAGAAAGGUAAUUAAAUUAUUUGCACAAACACCAGGUGUCUGCUGCAAAUUAAAGGUUCCAGUUCCCUUGUCAACUCAUCUUGAGACACACCAUAUAUUUCUGAUGCAGAAAUAUCUAACAUGCUUCCUCUUCUCAAAUCUAAAAUCUGGCCAUCAGCCUGCACCACGUAACAGCCAAACUUAAACUUGUCUAUUCUCUGAGCUGACAAUGCAGAAACUCAGGAUGAGCACAUGCUGAAUGAAAAGUCAGAGGAAUGAGGAAUAAGAGAACACCAGUAAAACCCUAUCAAAUCAAACUGUGGCAAAACAGAACCAAGAAAAAGACAGAGGGAGCCUUGUAUGAGGUAAUAUCUGUACCUGGAGCACUGACCUAAUUAGAGUUACAAUAAAAUCAGAUGCAUUUCUGCUUUGCACCACAGCAAAAUGCAGGCACAGAGAUAAUUACAAUGUUGCCAGCAGUCUCUGGCCAUGCAGGAAGCCUGGAGCUAUUUUUGCAGAUAGGCUGAUGUCCAUGCUUCUUAAUUCCCUUUCUCCCUCCAUUAAUAAAAUAGCUGAUGCUGUCAAUGCUUUCCAGAGAGAUUCCUUGGGCUCUUCACAUAAAGUGGUGUUUCAAUCAUCAGGUCAUGGCAGAAAAUACGUGCACAAGUCAACAUACUGGAGUAAACCACAUGGCUUACGGAGCAGCUGGAGGUUUAACACUGAGACCUGUGAUCUUUUUAGGGUUUGGAUUAUGUCAUUCAUGUGAGCAGUUGAUUUCAGGAGCUGCCCAUCCAGAAUUUUAAGUCAGAGCCUCUCAACAGUAUUUCUUAGCUCACUCAGUCUUCUAAAUGACUCAGUUCAGUGAACCAUUUUCUCCAGAUCAAAUCAAUCACUUCUCUCAUGAGUGUUCCAAGGACAUCUUGUAUUUUUGUCCCAACUGAACUUUAAUGCUGACCUAGCCAAGAUUACUAGUGAAUUAGGUCAGCCAGAAGCCUGAACUCUCCCAACAAAUAUCUAAAAAACAUCAAGAAAAUCCAACACAAGCAGUAGAUUCUGCAAAUCAGCUUGCACAUGUAUUUCCAAGUGGUCACCAUUUCUAGUUAUUUAACUUCAGUUUCUCCUU